AAGACAAUGCGAUGACAAUGGUUCCUGUGCAACACAUUGUCGAUUUCCCGGAAGAGUUUUGACGCCAAGAAGACGUAAACGGCGUAGAGGCAAGAACGCACUGUGAAACGCCAAUCGGACUGCACGUCGCGAAUGUUUGCAGAAACUUCGGAGGAACUUGAAGAGAAACAGGAUGAGAAGAUUCCGAACAUACGGUGAAGAGGAAUGGGGUGUAUGUCGCGACCUGCAUGGAAAACAGGAGUGUCGUGUCAUCUUCUCUAAGAAAAUACAAGAUGUGAGGUGGCCAACGAACGAAAGCUCCCUGUGGUCCGUGAGUGCAUCGCACAGUCAGGCAUAUGCUUUGUUUAGACACAGUGAGUGAUCAGACUUAUACUACGUGGUAUGUAAAUGUAGAGAUGUUUUGAUUAUUUCUUUCUGCUCAGUGUAUGCUUUUAGCAGAAUAAACGGUAAUUUACUUGA